UUGACGCUGGCGGCAGGCCUAACACAUGCAAGUCGAGCGGAAACGAUCCUAGCUUGCUAGGAGGCGUCGAGCGGCGGACGGGUGAGUAAUGCAUAGGAAUCUGCCCGGUAGUGGGGGAUAACUUGAGGAAACUCAAGCUAAUACCGCAUACGCCCCAAGGGGGAAAGCAGGGGAUCUUCGGACCUUGCGCUAUCGGAUGAGCCUAUGUCGGAUUAGCUAGUUGGUGAGGUAAUGGCUCACCAAGGCCGCGAUCCGUAGCUGGUCUGAGAGGAUGAUCAGCCACAUCGGGACUGAGACACGGCCCGAACUCCUACGGGAGGCAGCAGUGGGGAAUAUUGGACAAUGGGCGAAAGCCUGAUCCAGCCAUGCCGCGUGUGUGAAGAAGGCCUUCGGGUUGUAAAGCACUUUCAGCGAGGAAGAACGCUUGCGGGUUAAUACCCCGCAAGAAGGACAUCACUCGCAGAAGAAGCACCGGCUAACUCCGUGCCAGCAGCCGCGGUAAUACGGAGGGUGCAAGCGUUAAUCGGAAUUACUGGGCGUAAAGCGCGCGUAGGCGGCUUGAUAAGCCGGUUGUGAAAGCCCCGGGCUCAACCUGGGAACGGCAUCCGGAACUGUCAGGCUAGAGUGCAGGAGAGGAAGGUAGAAUUCCCGGUGUAGCGGUGAAAUGCGUANAGAUCGGGAGGAAUACCAGUGGCGAAGGCGGCCUUCUGGACUGACACUGACGCUGAGGUGCGAAAGCGUGGGUAGCAAACAGGAUUANAUACCCUGGUAGUCCACNCCGUAACCAUGUCGACUAGCCGUUGGGNUCCUCGA
rnacentral:rRNA from 1 species